GGGCAGAGGGAUCCUCCUCCCACCAGCACGGGAGGUCUUUGCCUUUGGAUUCGAAGCCGAGGCUGUAAGGAUGUGGUGGGUCAGGCUCGGCUGGUGGUGUGUUUCUACUGCACUCCACGAGGUGGUACAGUGUUGCCAGUUACAUUUUCUCCCUUCCGCAGCUGCCUUUAUCGAGUUCUGAGUAGGUAACUCAGGAACAACUCCUUUCCGAGCAGCCUCGGCGGCUGCCUUGCUCCUCUCUCUUCCGUGCGCCCAUGCUUGUUGAGUUUUUAUCGCUCCACAGCCAUGCCAAGCUUCCAACUGCACCACAGAAGGCUUCACCUCGAGGGGAAACUUCUUUACAGUGAGGGUGACAGAGCCCUGGAACAAGCUGCCCUGAAAGGUCUCAGUCUGCACAUGGGAAGAAGAGAACGCCAGAAAUGAGAUGGGGCUUGAGUAACUCAAUGCUGAUAGCUACAUUCACAGAGGAGAAGAAUUGCCCAACAGUUCCCUUAAGUCUAAAUCCACCUCAGCUGAGGUUAACCUGGAGCAAGGAUGUUGUGCUGGGUCUGAAGUCCAGCACUACAGACCUUGUCAUGUCAACAAGAAAGCAGCCCAGCAUCUUAAAUGGUAGAAGGUCCCAACAGCCACAGCUUUAUCCUGCAGUGCCACCAGGAGGGAAACAACAAAAUGCCUUUAUCAAGCAAACUGGAAGGUUUUCAGCAAUCAUAGUGAAGUGACAGCUUCCAAAACUCCACUCAGCAGCAGCUGGACUUUGAAAACUCUCUCUCAAUCCACUUCAGAAGAGUUCAUGUUGUGCUGACCACUGUAGCUACUUCCUGCUCCUCACUCUCUGACAAGUUGUUUGCACAACAUCCAGUUCUAACACCAGUUGUCAAACAGGCUCUUCAGGCCAGCUACUGAGUGCUGCAAAGCCAAAGCUUCACAGAAUCAACCAGCUUGGAAAAGACCUCCAGGAUAGUUGAAUCCAACCUGUCACCUAACCCUUCUAAUUACCUAAACCAUGGCACCAAGUGCCUCGUCCAGCCUCCUUUAAACACCUCCAGGGAUGCUGCUUGGAGAAGUUGUGGUGUUUCCUCCCUGGGAGACAUUCAAAACCUGCCUGGAUGCAUUCCU